rnacentral:rRNA from 1 species
AUUGAACGCUGGCGGCAUGCCUUACACAUGCAAGUCGAACGGCAGCGGGGGAGAAGCUUGCUUUUCCUGCCGGCGAGUGGCGAACGGGUGAGUAAUACAUCGGAACGUGCCCUGUAGUGGGGGAUAACUAGUCGAAAGAUUAGCUAAUACCGCAUACGACCUGAGGGUGAAAGGGGGGGACCGCAAGGCCUCAUGCUAUAGGAGCGGCCGAUGUCAGAUUAGCUAGUUGGUGGGGUAAAGGCCUACCAAGGCGACGAUCAGUAGCUGGUCUGAGAGGACGAUCAGCCACACUGGGACUGAGACACGGCCCAGACUCCUACGGGAGGCAGCAGUGGGGAAUUUUGGACAAUGGGCGAAAGCCUGAUCCAGCAAUGCCGCGUGUGUGGAGAAGGCCUUCGGGUUGUAAAGCACUUUUGUCCGGAAAGAAAUGGCUCUGGUUAAUACCUGGGGUCGAUGACGGUACCGGAAGAAUAAGGACCGGCUAACUACGUGCCAGCAGCCGCGGUAA